rnacentral:rRNA from 1 species
UGGGGGAUAUUGCACAAUGGGCGAAAGCCUGAUGCAGCGACGCCGCGUGGGGGAUGAAGGCCUUCGGGUUGUAAACUUCUUUUGCUCUGAACAAGGCGCACCAUGGGGUGUGUUGAGUGUAGGGGUUGAUUAGCACCGGCUAACUACGUGCCAGCAGCCGCGGUAAUACGUAGGGCGCGAGUGUUGUCCGGAAUUAUUGGGCGUGAAGGGCUUGUAGGUGGCUGGUUGCGUCUGUCGUGAAAGCUCAUGGCUUAACUGUGGGUUUGCGGUGGGUACGGGCUGGCUUGAGUGCAGUAGGGGAGGCUGGAAUUCCUGGUGUAGCGGUGGAAUGCGCAGAUAUCAGGAGGAAUACCGGUGGCGAAGGCGGGUCUCUGGGCUGUUACUGACACUGAGGAGCGAAAGCAUGGGGAGCGAACAGG